rnacentral:rRNA from 1 species
UACGUAGGGUGCGAGCGUUAAUCGGAAUUACUGGGCGUAAAGCGUGCGCAGGCGGCGCGUUAAGUCCGGUGUGAAAGCCCCGAGCUUAACUUGGGAAUUGCGCUUGUGACUGGCGUGCUGGAGUGUGGCAGAGGGAGGUGGAAUUCCACGUGUAGCAGUGAAAUGCGUAGAGAUGUGGAGGAACACCGAUGGCGAAGGCAGCCUCCUGGGCCAGCACUGACGCUCAUGCACGAAAGCGUGGGGAGCAAACAGG